rnacentral:rRNA from 1 species
CCCUAAAAACGACUGUCUCAGUUCAGAUUGCAGGCUGCAACCCGCCUGCAUGAAGUCGGAAUUGCUAGUAAUCGCGGAUCAGCAUGCCGCGGUGAAUACGUUCCCGGGCCUUGUACACACCGCCCGUCACACCAUGAGAGUUGGGAAUACCCGAAGCCUGUGAACCAACAAACGAGGCAGCAGUCGAAGGUAGAAUCAAUGAUUGGGGUGAAGUCGUAACAAGGUAGC